CCACAUGGCAAAGGUGGAAGAACUUUGAAGGCAGUGGGACGAUUGUCUAGUUUGUAUCUAUUGAAUAUAAAAGGUGCACCAUGUGGUGCCAGUGGACGAAUUGACUGCUUCAAGCUGGAAGGUUCCUGUGUGGCCACGGUAGAAGAUGAUAUAGAACAAGAGCGCUCCGCAUUCUCUGUUGAUCUGCUACAAUCAGAGAUUGUGUCAGCUUGUGUUGAGGUAGAAGAUGAUAUAGAACAAGAGUGCUCCGCAUUCUCUGUUGAUCUGCUACAAUCAGAGAUUGUGUCAGCUUGUGUUGAAGAUACAUCAUUAUUAAGUUCCGCGGAGCUUGCAUUUUGCAUUUUUGCAGAAUAAGAUACUGUUUCUCCCUCCUUCUGUUUCUUCAGAUCCUGGUCUGAGACUGCUUCAGCUUUCACACCUACAGCCUGCAUAGACAUAACCACAUAAUGGUGGAAGAGAAGACCCUAACAUUAGUUUACUAAAGAUCAAUGACAUUAUAUCGUCAAUAUACAGAGAGGAAAAACAAAGAACUGCAAUAAACAUGAGAUCUGCUUACUCUGAGGACAAUUUAAUUGCUAUAGUCAAUCUUGAUAUAAGUUGUGGAAUUGGAAACAAGAAUAAGAACUUUUACAGUUAAAAUAAAGUUAUAUCAUCAUAUGUGGGAAGGAAACAAAGAAUGACUUGCAUAAACAAUUCCAGAUACAAGAUAUUCAUUGUAGUUAGCCCUCGUCAUUAUUAUGGAAAAAAGUACUUCUACAGUUAACAACUAGGAAGCAUAUCAAAUAAAAACUUGCAGGAAUACUUCGAAAAGUCAGUUUGUUUAAAAGUAGGUUUUGAAAAAAAAUAUAAUGGAAUAUUUCAAGUUGGUGAGAGAAAAUAAAGAAUAAAAUCACUUAAUCUCAGUAGAUACUGAAUAUCAGCUAAAAGAACAUUUUCUUUGGACAAAUUUGAAAAAAGAACAGGCAAUCACCUGCUUCUCAAGUUUAACCAACUGACGUCGAAACUCAUUC
rnacentral:lncRNA from 1 species